rnacentral:sRNA from 1 species
AGUUGCGGAGAAACUAUCAUUGGUAGUUUUUUGUAGCUGUUCCCCUCUGGAGGUUUGACGACCUUCACACUUGAAGCAUCCGUUCGCGGGUGCUUUUU